rnacentral:rRNA from 1 species
AGAGUUUGAUCCUGGCUCAGGACGAACGCUGGCGGCGUGCCUAAUACAUGCAAGUCGAACGCACUCUCGUUAGAUUGAAGAAGCUUGCUUCUGAUUGAUAACAUUUGAGUGAGUGGCGGACGGGUGAGUAACACGUGGGUAACUUGCCCUAAAGUGGGGGAUAACAUUUGGAAACAGAUGCUAAUACCGCAUAAAACCUAGCACCGCAUGGUGCAAGGUUGAAAGAUGGUUUCGGCUAUCACUUUAGGAUGGACCCGCGGUGCAUUAGUUAGUUGGUGAGGUAAAGGCUCACCAAGACCGUGAUGCAUAGCCGACCUGAGAGGGUAAUCGGCCACACUGGGACUGAGACACGGCCCAGACUCCUACGGGAGGCAGCAGUAGGGAAUCUUCCACAAUGGACGAAAGUCUGAUGGAGCAACGCCGCGUGAGUGAAGAAGGUUUUCGGAUCGUAAAACUCUGUUGUUGGAGAAGAACGUAUUUGAUAGUAACUGAUCAGGUAGUGACGGUAUCCAACCAGAAAGCCACGGCUAACUACGUGCCAGCAGCCGCGGUAAUACGUAGGUGGCAAGCGUUGUCCGGAUUUAUUGGGCGUAAAGCGAGCGCAGGCGGUUUCUUAAGUCUGAUGUGAAAGCCUUCGGCUCAACCGAAGAAGUGCAUCGGAAACUGGGAAACUUGAGUGCAGAAGAGGACAGUGGAACUCCAUGUGUAGCGGUG